AAGCACUUUACCUGAUUUCCUUCGGGGAUGAUUGUUCUGUGACUGAGUGGCGGACGGGUGAGUAACGCGUGGAUAACCUGCCUCACACAGGGGGAUAACAGUUGGAAACGACUGCUAAUACCGCAUAAGCGCACAGCACCGCAUGGUGCAGUGUGAAAAACUCCGGUGGUGUGAGAUGGAUCCGCGUCUGAUUAGCUUGUUGGCGGGGUAACGGCCCACCAAGGCGACGAUCAGUAGCCGGCCUGAGAGGGCGACCGGCCACAUUGGGACUGAGACACGGCCCAGACUCCUACGGGAGGCAGCAGUGGGGAAUAUUGCACAAUGGGGGAAACCCUGAUGCAGCGACGCCGCGUGAGCGAUGAAGUAUUUCGGUAUGUAAAGCUCUAUCAGCAGGGAAGAUAAUGACGGUACCUGACUAAGAAGCUCCGGCUAAAUACGUGCCAGCAGCCGCGGUAAUACGUAUGGAGCAAGCGUUAUCCGGAUUUACUGGGUGUAAAGGGAGCGUAGGCGGUCCUGCAAGUCUGAUGUGAAAGGCCGGGGCUCAACCCCGGGACUGCAUUGGAAACUGUAGGACUAGAGUGUCGGAGGG
rnacentral:rRNA from 1 species